rnacentral:rRNA from 1 species
UACGUAGGGCGCAAGCGUUGUCCGGAAUUAUUGGGCGUAAAGAGCUCGUAGGCGGUUUGUCGCGUCUGCUGUGAAAACCUGAGGCUCAACCUCGGGCUUGCAGUGGGUACGGGCAGACUAGAGUGCGGUAGGGGUGACUGGAAUUCCUGGUGUAGCGGUGGAAUGCGCAGAUAGUCAGGAGGGAACACCCGGGUGGGCGAAGGCGGGUCUCUGGGCCGUAACUGACGCUGGAGGAGCGGAAAGCAUGGGGAGCGAACAGG